GAUCAUGGGCUCAGGAUGAACGCUAGCUACAGGCUUAACACAUGCAAGUCGAGGGGCAGCAUUUUUAGUUUGUCUUGCAAACUGAAGAUGGCGACCGGCGCACGGGUGAGUAACACGUAUCCAACCUGCCGAUAACUCCGGGAUAGCCUUUCGAAAGAAAGAUUAAUACCGGAUAGCAUACGAAUAUCGCAUGAUAUUUUUAUUAAAGAAUUUCGGUUAUCGAUGGGGAUGCGUUCCAUUUAG
rnacentral:rRNA from 1 species